rnacentral:rRNA from 1 species
AGUCGAACGGAAGUCGUUGUAAUGAUAUAGACAUGGACGGAGAACUUGUUCAAAGAAAGUGAAAGUUGACUUACAACAAUGGCUUUAGUGGCGGACUGGUGAGUAACACGUAAGCAACCUGCCUAUCAGAGGGGAACAACAGUUAGAAAUGACUGCUAAUACCGCAUAUGCCUUAGCAACACAUGUUGCAAAAAGGGAAAGGAGCAAUCCGCUGAUAGAUGGGCUUGCGUCUGAUUAGAUAGUUGGUGGGGUAACGGCCUACCAAGUCGACGAUCAGUAGCCGGACUGAGAGGUUGAACGGCCACAUUGGGACUGAGAUACGGCCCAGACUCCUACGGGAGGCAGCAGUCGGGAAUAUUGCGCAAUGGAGGAAACUCUGACGCAGUGACGCCGCGUGCAGGAAGAAGGUUUUCGGAUUGUAAACUGCUUUAGACAGGGAAGAACAAAGACAGUACCUGUAGAAUAAGCUCCGGCUAACUACGUGCCAGCAGCCGCGGUAAUACGUAGGGAGCAAGCGUUAUCCGGAUUUAUUGGGUGUAAAGGGUGCGUAGACGGUAAUGCAAGUUAGUUGUGAAAUCCCUCGGCUUAACUGAGGAACUGCAACUAAAACUACAUUUCUUGAGUAUUGGAGGGGAAAGUGGAAUUCCUAGUGUAGCGGUGAAAUGCGUAGAUAUUAGGAGGAACACCGGUGGCGAAGGCGACUUUCUGGACAAUUACUGACGUUGAGGCACGAAAGUGUGGGGAGCAAACAGGAUUAGAUACCCUGGUAGUCCACACCGUAAACGAUGGAUACUAGGUGUAGGAUGUGAUAAACAUUCUGUGCCGUCGCAAACGCA